UAUAUAUUCCACAAUAAUCAUUCUUAUUGGAAGGCUUAUUUUCUCUGCCUUUGCUUGCAGGUAAGUGGACAGAACAGAACGUAACGUAACAGAAUGGAAGAAUAGACUAAUUUAAACAGACAUCCAAGUAUCCUCUGGCCGCCUUAUAUUUGUUUCAUAGGAUGGCCUUCGCCUUGGAAAUAUUUGUUUGUAGGAAGACUGAAUCCAAUAGAAUCAAACACUUGUUUGUCUUACCUACCUUGCAAUGGAUUUGCAUACAUUUCUGAAAGUGUUUCAGAUCAAACUGUCCAUCUUUGUUUUACAGGUUGGUUCCUAGCAUAGAAAAGGUCUGCUGGAGCUUGUGAUUUGUGUGUAAGCAGAGGAAUAGAUAUAGAGAUAUAGAGAAAUUUUUCAGCAUUGCAUUUAUUAUUUACAGGUUUUUUAAGGUUGUGGUACUUCAGUCUUAGUACGAUGUUUGCCAAAGACCAGAUCCAAAGUCUGAUCCUAUAUCUUUUGGUAGGUAUGACUGGAUGGACAAAUUAAUGAUGGUGCUUAAUGAUACUUAGGCGGUUAUUGGAUUGUAUUGGAACUCCUCUUAAACUCCUAUAGAGUUUAUGCCUUGGCAAAUUUACAUGUGCUCCUAUUUUUUUGGCCAGGUAAAAGUAGAUACAGAUAAUUAAUUAUGGUGGUGUCCUUUUUCAGCCAUGCAUCUUCGACUUAAAGAUUGUGCCCCAGUGCAGAAAGUCUACUAGCAGAUGCAGAUAACCUUGGACUGCUGGAGCUUGUGAUUUGUACUGUAUGCAAAUAAAAGAAUACAUUUUCAUAGAUAAAGAUAGCCCAGGCCUUUUUUCCUACAACUUUUCCUGAUUUGGGAAACAUAGGAUACUGCAAAAAAUGCCAAGAUUGGCCCUGGUACAAAAAUUUCCAGCAACAGAUGCAGAUGAUCUUGGCCUGCUGGAGUUUGUGAUCCAUUUGUUGGACCCAGGAUAUAAGCCCUACAACAUAUGCAGAUUGGGCCCUGGUGCUGGAAAGUGCAACAACAAAAAUAAUCUUGGACAGUUGGAGUUUGUGAUCAAUGUAUCUGGCUGCUAUGGAAUUUGAGCUUUAGCAGAUUACAUGGGAUUCUUUCUUUUAGUAGGUAUGAGAAAAUAGAGGUAUUUUUUAUGAUGUCACUCUUCAGCACAGUAUCUUUGUUUUACAGGUUGGAUCCAGUACAGGUCUAGUAGCAGAUGCAGAUAAUCAUGGACUUCUGGAGCUUGUGAUUGCCUGGUCAGAUUACGUGGGAUCUUUUCUUUUGAUUGGCCCCUGGUGCAACAAAGUCCAGCAACCGAUGCAGAUGGUCUUGGACUGCUGGAGUUUGUGAUUGAUAUGUUGGACCCAGGAUAUGAGGUCUAGCAAUAGAUUCAGGCUUCCUGGGUGCAGGAUCCAGUUUCUUUUGGAAAGUAUGAGAGGAUAGGACAAAUGAUGGUGCUGUCAUUCUUCAACCGUGGCAUCUUUCUUGCUGGUUGGACCGAGUUGUAGAAGGUCUAAUAUCCGAUGCAGAUAACCUAGGACUGCUGAAACAUGCUUUCAGAAUGUGAGUAAAGGAAUAGCAGUGCUAAAAUAAUAUAGGCCAUCUUUAUUUUUACAGAUUUUCCUGGUUUUCCAAACAUCUGGCCGCUGUGGCAUUUUAGCCUCAGUAGAUCAUAUGGGAUCCUCUUUCUUUUACUAGGUAUGAGAGAAUGGAGACAUUUUGUAUGGUGUUGCUCUUCGGCACAGGUAUCUUUGUUUUACAGAUUUGGAUCCAGAAUAGAAGGUCUAGUAGCAGAUGUAGAUAAUCAUGGACUUCUGGAGCUUGUGAUUUGGUAUGCGAGUAAAUUCAUAUGCAUGCAUUAGGAAAUAAAUUCUUCAAACCUGGUAUAUUGGUUUAUACAGAUUUUCAUGAUUUGGCAAACAUCUGGCUGCUGUGUAAUUCCAACCUUGGCAGGUUACAUGGCAUCCUCUUUCUUCGGUAGGUAUAAAAAUGAUGGAGAAAUUAAGUAUAUUGUUUUUCAUAAUCCCGGGAAUUUUUUUUUUUUCAGAGUUGCCUAGUUUAGCAAAUGUCUGGCUGCUGUGAAAAAUCAAUCUGGGCAGAUUACGAGGGAUCUUUCUUUUGGUAGGUUUAAAUGGAUGGACAAAUUAAUGAUGCCAUUUUUAAGCCUGAUCAUUUGUUUUAACAGGUUUUCCUGAUUUUGCGAUCACCCAGCUGCUCUGCUACUUCAUCCUCGGCAGGUCACAUUGGCAUCCAUAAUUUAUCGACAGGUUGUAACCUGAUAUGGGAAAGGUCUCAGGCUUGCAGCCAUUUCCUUAUGCUGAUGCAUGCCCCACCAACUAAGAACCGAAGGCAAGAACCCUUCUACCCUACACUGAACACAUCUCAAGGGGAUGAAAAAACUGGUGUCACCAUGUCAUGAAGCAUCCACUUGGAUUUUCUACUUGUAUUAAAAUUGUAAAAAGUUUGUUUUUUCAUUAAAUGUAGAUUCCUUUAAUUUUCA